rnacentral:rRNA from 1 species
AAAUGAAUAGACGGGGGCCCGCACAAGCAGUGGAGUAUGUGGUUUAAUUCGAAGCAACGCGAAGAACCUUACCAGGGCUUGACAUGCAGGUGAAUAGCAUAGAGAUAUGCUAGUCCUUCGGGACGCCUGUGCAGGUGGUGCAUGGUUGUCGUCAGCUCGUGUCGUGAGAUGUUGGGUUAAGUCCCGCAACGAGCGCAACCCCUGUUGUUAGUUGCCAUCAUUAAGUUGGGCACUCUAACGAGACUGCCGGUGACAAAUCGGAGGAAGGUGGGGACGACGUCAAAUCAUCAUGCCCCUUAUGUCCUGGGCUACACACGUACUACAAUGGCUAUAACAGCAGGGAGCUAAGGCGCAAGCCGGAGCGAAUCCUCAAAAAUAGUCUCAGUUCGGAUUGUGGGCUGAAACCCGCCCACAUGAAGUCGGAAUUGCUAGUAAUGGCAGGUCAGCAUACUGCCGUGAAUACGUUCCCGGGCCUUGUACACACCGCCCGU